UACGGGGGGGGCAAGCGUUGCUCGGAAUCACUGGGCGUAAAGGGCGCGUAGGCGGGCCCGCAAGUCGAUCGUGAAAUCCUUCGGCUCAACUGAAGGGGUCGGUCGAUACUGCAGGUCUUGAGGGAUGCAGAGGAGACUGGAAUUCCCGGUGUAGCGGUGAAAUGUGUGAGAGAUCGGGAGGAACACCGGUGGCGAAGGCGGGUCUCUGGGCAUCUCCUGACGCUGAGGAGCGAAAGCGUGGGUAGCAAACAGG
rnacentral:rRNA from 1 species